AUACAUGCUUCAAAUUUGGGAGGUCUGCAAUGUACAGAGUUCUCAAUUGAAUGGCCACUGUUUCUUUCAUUUUAAUCAGCUCUUGCAAAUCAAACGCCUCUUUCAGUGAAAUACAAUUCCAUAUGACCAAAUCCCCAAGAUUCUGGAGGUCUCUCAGCAACAUGGAUGGAAAAAUUUUAAGUAGUUCUUCGCAGUAUUUCACCUCAAGUACUUUCAUUUUGCAAAAGGAAUCUGAAUGG
rnacentral:misc_RNA from 1 species